rnacentral:rRNA from 1 species
AUUGAACGCUGGCGGCAGGCCUAACACAUGCAAGUCGAGCGGUAACACAAGGGAGCUUGCUUCUGAGGUGACGAGCGGCGGACGGGUGAGUAAUGCCUAGGGAUCUGCCCAGUCGAGGGGGAUAACAGUUGGAAACGACUGCUAAUACCGCAUACGCCCUACGGGGGAAAGGAGGGGACCUUCGGGCCUUCCGCGAUUGGAUGAACCUAGGUGGGAUUAGCUAGUUGGUGAGGUAAUGGCUCACCAAGGCGACGAUCCCUAGCUGUUCUGAGAGGAUGAUCAGCCACACUGGGACUGAGACACGGCCCAGACUCCUACGGGAGGCAGCAGUGGGGAAUAUUGCACAAUGGGGGAAACCCUGAUGCAGCCAUGCCGCGUGUGUGAAGAAGGCCUUCGGGUUGUAAAGCACUUUCAGUAGGGAGGAAAGGUAAUAGUUUAAUAAACUAUUACUGUGACGUUACCUACAGAAGAAGGACCGGCUAACUCCGUGCCAGCAGCCGCGGUAAUACGGAGGGUCCGAGCGUUAAUCGGAAUUACUGGGCGUAAAGCGUGCGCAGGCGGUUUGUUAAGCCAGAUGUGAAAUCCCCGGGCUCAACCUGGGAAUUGCAUUUGGAACUGGCGAACUAGAGUCUUGUAGAGGGGGGUAGAAUUCCAGGUGUAGCGGUGAAAUGCGUAGAUAUCUGGAGGAAUACCGGUGGCGAAGGCGGCCCCCUGGACAAAGACUGACGCUCAUGCACGAAAGCGUGGGGAGCAAACAGGAUUGGAUACCCUGGUAGUCCACGCCGUAAACGAUGUCUACUCGGAGUUUGGUGACUUAGUCACUGGGCUCCCAAGCUAACGCAUUAAGUAGACCGCCUGGGGAGUACGGCCGCAAGGUUAAAACUCAAAUGAAUUGACGGGGGCCCGCACAAGCGGUGGAGCAUGUGGUUUAAUUCGAUGCAACGCGAAGAACCUUACCUACUCUUGACAUCCACAGAAGAGACCAGAGA